CAAGGGAGACUUGUAUGGUCCAGAAGUUCAAAAAGAAUUGUUCCGUAGAGUUGGGAGGGGAAAGGGAGAAAUGAGGUUUGGACUUAAUAAUCAGCCAUGGCCACUCUCUUGGCUUCGAUUGCGACCUGCUUCUUCUACGCGCUGCUUCUCUCUGGUUCAUUCGCUUCCACUACAGUCUUCAUGUGGGAUAGCAUUUGAUAUAGAUGGGGUUAUACUCCGUGGCCGAACUCCAAUUGGGAAUUCUCCCAGUGCUCUCCGGAGACUGUAUGAUGACUCGGGCAAUCUGAAGCUUCCCUUUUUGUUCUUGACAAAUGGAGGUGGUAUCCCAGAGUGUAAAAGAGCCUCUGAGUUAAGUGAACUCCUUGGAGUUGAGAUAUUACCUUCUCAGGUCGUGCUGGGGCAUUCACCUUUUAGGAAUUUGAUAAAGAGAUUUGAGAAUGAACUCAUUGUUGUCACUGGAAAAGGUGAACCUGCUGAAGUGAUGUCUGCAUAUGGUUUCAAAAAAGUUCUCUCCCUGGAAGAGUAUGCAUCAUACUUUGAUGACAUUGAUCCUGUAGCUCAGUUCAAAAGGUGGACAAAAACAACAAAGCACUUAAAUUUGUCAAGAAAUUCUUCAGAGUUGGCACCACAAAUAGAUGUUCUUUCUGAUAGAGUUAAAGCAGUAUUUAUUGCCAGUGAUCCUGUUGAUUGGGGGAGGGAUAUACAGGUCCUCUGUGAUAUUUUGACAUCUGGAGGUCUUCCUGGGAAGGAGAGUGAGCAUCAGCCACAUUUAUAUUUUGCCGCCGAUGAUCUUGAAUACCAGGCAGCAUUUUCUUGUGAGCGUCUUGGUAUGGGUGCAUUCAGAAUUGCUCUAGAAAGUGUCUUUAACAGAAUUCACUUGAAGCCUUUGGAGUAUACAUCUUUUGGGAAGCCAAAUCCAUUUGUUUUCCAAAAUGCUGGUGCCAUAUUGAGAAAUCUUCAACUCUCUCGUCAAAGUAAUGACCUUUCUGGUGAUAAAGAUGCUAUACAUGCUUUCAGAACUCUGUACAUGAUUGGUGACAAUCCAUUUGUCGACGUAAAAGGUGCACGGCAGGGCAUCCUUGGUUUUCAAUUUUGACGAGGACUGGUGUUUUCAAAGAAAGAGGAAAUCAUGCAGAAUUUCCUGCUGAUCUAGUGGUCGACACUGUUGAAGAGGCAGUGGAUUUCAUUUUGAAGAGAGAGUCUAGUUAGCAGCAUUGUCAAUUUUGUUUUCUGACUUGCUGCCAUGUUGCCUUUGCUCAUAGAUGGUUGUGAUUUUCAAGUUGAAGUUUGUUAAAACUAACUCAAACAGCAAUUUGUCAUCAGGUCUAACAUUAUUUUUAGCACGUUAGCUAACUUGAACUGCUGUAUUGCUAGCUCCCGCUCUUCUGAUCUCAGUACUGUUGUAGUAGUCAUUUUACAUAAUACUCAUUUAUUAUUGACAGUAGAAAAUAGCGUAGGUUCGAAAUGGAAGAGAUGGAAGAUUAUUUUGUCAGAAGAUUCUUCUUUCAUUGUACUAGCUCUUUCUUGGCCACAAUUUCCUGAAAUGUGACAGUUAUGUUAUGCAAGAAAACUCAGAGUUAACAAUUGA